rnacentral:rRNA from 1 species
AUACGGAGGGUGCGAGCGUUACUCGGAGUCACUGGGCGUAAAGCGUCCGUAGGCGGUCGGGUAAGUCGGGUGUGAAAGCCCCGGGCUCAACCUGGGAAGUGCACCCGAUACUGCUCGACUCGAGUGCGGGAGAGGAUGGCGGAAUUCCUGGUGUAGCGGUGAAAUGCGUAGAGAUCGGGAGGAACACCAGUGGCGAAGGCGGCCAUCUGGCCCGCAACUGACGCUGAGGGACGAAAGCGUGGGGAGCAAACAGGAUUAGAAACCCUAGUAGUCC